rnacentral:rRNA from 1 species
UUUCGAGUUUUGGAUGGGUUGUCUGCUGGCUCGCAAGGGCAUGUGCACGCCUGUCUCAUCCACUCUCAACUUCUGUGCACUUUUCAUAGGCCGGCUUGUGGGUGCGUUCGCGCACUUGUAGGUGUCGGGCUUAUGCUUUACUACAAACGAUUCAGUUUUAGAAUGUCAUACUUUGCUAUAACGCAAUUAUAUACAACUUUCAGCAACGGAUCUCUUGGCUCUCGCAUCGAUGAAGAACGCAACGAAAUGCGAUAAGUAAUGUGAAUUGCAGAAUUCAGUGAAUCAUCGAAUCUUUGAACGCACCUUGCGCUCCUUGGUAUUCCGAGGAGCAUGCCUGUUUGAGUCUCAUGGAAUUCUCAACCUUCAGCUUUAUUGAUGAAGGCUUGGACUUGGAGGUCGUGCCGGCUCUCGUAGUCGGCUCCUCUGAAAUGCAUUAGUGCGAACGUUACCAGCCGCUUCAGCGUGAUAAUUAUCUGCGUUGCUGUGGAGGGUAUUCUAGUGUUCACGCUUCUAACCGUCUUCGGACAAAUUUCUGAACUCUGAGCUCAAAUCAGGUAGGACUACCCGCUGAACUUAAGCAUAUCAAUAAGCGGAGGAA